UACUAUACAGACCAGGCUGGCCUCACGCUCACAGGGAUUCCGCUGUCUCUGGGAUGCUUGACAGAUCACACCAGAAAACAAACCUCUUGUCGGGCCACGCUUGGAUCGAUUCUUAGACUGACUGGAACCCGGUGCCGAGGAACGAUUAGGAGUGUUGGCGAUCCAUUAGUGAUGUCUGCCGAAGAUAUGGGGGAAGAACGGACAGGCAUCUAUUAUUCUGGGUCCCGUUCCUGAAUGGGAUUCCGAUUCUGGAUCUCCUCCCCGGAUGUGUGGUUGUGUGGUUCACGUGUGCAGACACGCAACCCUGUGUGUGUCCCUGACAUUUGGAGGAGACGGACAACACCCGUGCCCCAGUGCAUCAGGGCUGUGAUGACAGGCUUAGCCUUGGAGUACUGAGCAGGGAGAACUGUCCCACAAGGGAGGGACAGGCAAGGUGGACUUCCUGAAGGAAGUGGCAUCUAAGCUAGGCUCUAAAGGCUGAACAGAUAUUACCUUGGGGAGGGGGCCAGACACGAGGAGAAUGGAAUUCAGCUGGGUUUGGAUUGGGUGGAUUGCCUUGGAUGGAAUCUGAUAAGUCUGGGAAGCGUAAUAGGGAGCCACCGAGGAAUUUUAUGCAAGGGGGCGUCAUUAUCAAGAGGUGUGGUGGUGCAUGCCUGUUGUCCCGGCCCUCAGGAAGCUGAGGGAGGAAAGGGGGAGUUUCAAGGUUAGCACUGACAGCACAGCAAGUUUGAGGCUAGCCUGGGACUCACGUGAUGAUGGAAGGAGAGAACGGACUCCCACGGGUCGCCUUCUGACCGCCAUAUGAAAGCCAUAGUGUGUGCUCUCCCUCUCUUCCCAAAAUAAAUAAUACAAUACC